CACACAACAUGGGCACCACCUCUCACUGUACAGAAAAUGCAGCUUGCUUCCCUGUUGCAGGUGUUUAAAUCCCAUGAGAGGGUUUGUCAUGUGUCAUUUGACCUCCAUGUUGAGCAUAAAAGACGCAGCAGAGACACAGAACAGACUGCAUUUUCACCAGAUAUCAGAGGGACAGAUCAACAAACUCUUCACGCUUGUCUACAAAAAUGGGAAAACAAAUGUUUGCACUUCGCGACGCGAUCAUGGU